CCUUUUUCCAGAAGCAAUGUUGUUAUUCCGGUUACUCAACGAGACAACAUCCAGGUUAUCACUCUUUAGACAGGCUGUGGUUAUCACACCGUGACACAGAGGAGUUCGCCCUACGGGGCCCUGACACGAGAGGAAGUCCGCUCACGUCCGCAAACACUACGCAUGCGCAUGUCAAUAAAGGUGUCAAAUCGAUCAUAAACAGCGAUUCUGUUAACAAGCGUGAGGCGAAUCAGCCGCGACGUAAAACAACGAGCCGCGUGAAAGACACACACACACACGCACACAUGUGAGGUUUACGUGAGAGUGAACGUUUCUCCAGGUCUACAGGUCCCUGCAGCUAACAGCAGGUUCGAUGCCAGCAGCUAACAGAGUAAACACAUGAACACAGCAACAUCCGUCUCUUACUCUGAGGACGUGGUAGCCUUCAGUUCCUCCUCCGGGGAUCUCGACGCUCUGAGAGAGCCCCAUGUUUCCCACGAAUGUGUGUGUGUGUGUGUGUGUUUGUGUGUGUCGGGGUGUCAGCAGCUGCGGGAAGCGGCUCUCCUCCAGAUCAUGUCCGUAUUGCAGCGCUGUGUUUCCGGCAUGUCCUGACUCCUGACCGCCUCCACUUCCGCUCCUGAGCAGCAGCAGCAGCAUCACUUCUCUGUGGCGGCUCAGUGGCGACAGGACGGGACUUCACUCCUCCUGGUUUAAUUAGAGACAGGUCUGAUCUUUCUUGUUUUGCACAGAUGGAUUGACAGCUGCCUCCAGGGCCCCCGAGCCCUCAGGGUACUUUUAUAUAGACAAUAAUGUCAGAAAAGUUUAGUCAAAUUCUGGUGAUUGUGCAUUUUCCUAAAUAUGUCUUUGUUGUGUUAUCAUCCAGUGACAGAGACUUCUCCGGAUGGAAAAUGAAACAGAGAUAAGAUAAGAUAAGAUACGAUAAGAUAAUUAAAAAAUGUAUUGAUCCACACAGUGAAAUUCAGAAUGGGGUAGACAGGAGAUAAAAAAAUGAUGUAUAUAAUAUGUUCAUAAUAUACACCUUUCACUGCUGCAAUAAUGUUAAAAAUCAUUGAGUUUAUGGAAGAGUAAUGUUCUUGAAACAGCUUUGCAGGGGCGCUUGCAAAGCUGUUUCACUGCCUAUGUACAGGCGACAUAGGCGGUGUUGCCAACUCCUCAGUAAGGAAAGUAGCUAUUGGCAUUGCAUAAUGUAGUGGUCGCUGUAGGACGUACAAAAAAUGCGAAAAAAAACACCCUAAAUAUGCUUAGAAAUAAGCGGAAGCAUAUUGCAUUCUCUUGAGAAAAAAAUAUAUAUCUCGGAAAUUCCGAGAUAAGUUCUCAAUAAAUAAAGAAACAUAACUUAUUUUAAUCCAAGUGAAUACAAUACGCUUCCGUAUUCUUCUCUCGAUUUUUUUUUUUUAUUUCUUGUCAUUGAAAUGCCAUCACUUCUCAAAGUAACUUCAUGACUGUAUUGCUGUAUCUGGACCCACAUACAUAAAUCAAUUUUGACCUGUA